rnacentral:rRNA from 1 species
CCUACGGGCGGCAGCAGUGAGGAAUAUUUGUCAAUGGCCGAGAGACUGAACCAGCCAAGUCGCGUGAGGGAAGACGGUCCUACGUGUUGUAAACCUCUUUUGUCUGGGAGCAAAGGUAACCACGUGUGGUUCUUUUAUAGUACCCUAUGAAAAAGCAUCGGAUAACUCCGUGCCAGCAGCCGCGGUAAUACGCAGGAUGCGUGCGUUAUCCGGAUUUAUUGGGUUUAAAGGGUGCGCAGGCGGGCAUGCAAUUCAGCGUUCAAAUUGUGGGGCUCAACCCCGUACUGCUGUUGAAACUGGAUGCCUUGAGUGUGCGUGAAGUAGGCGGAAUGAGUGGUGUAGCGGUGAAAUGCAGAGAUAUCACGCAGAACUCCGAUUGCGAAGGCAGCAUACCGGCGCGAAACUGACGCUGAUGCACGAAAGCGUGGGUAUCGAACAGGAUUAGAUACCCGUGUAGUC